CAGUGUAGCAAUACAUGGGUGGCGACCGGCAAACGGGUGCGGAACACGUACGCAACCUUCCUUCAUGCGGGGAAUAGCCCAGAGAAAUUUGGAUUAAUACCCCAUAAUAUUUUGAGAUGGCAUCAUCUUAUUAUUAAAGCUACGGCACCUGGAGAUGGGCGUGCGGCUGAUUAGGUAGUUGGCGGGGUAAUGGCCCACCAAGCCUACGAUCAGUAGCUGAUGUGAGAGCAUGAUCAGCCACACGGGCACUGAGACACGGGCCCGACUCCUACGGGAGGCAGCAGUAAGGAAUAUUGGUCAAUGGACGCAAGUCUGAACCAGCCAUGCCGCGUGGAGGAUGAAGGUCCUCUGGAUUGUAAACUUCUUUUAUCUGGGACGAAAAAAGGGUUUUCUAACUCGUCUGACGGUACCAGAUGAAUAAGCACCGGCUAACUCCGUGCCAGCAGCCGCGGUAAUACGGAGGGUGCAAGCGUUAUCCGGAUUCACUGGGUUUAAAGGGUGCGUAGGCGGGCAUUUAAGUCAGUGGUGAAAUACCUGAGCUUAACUUGGGAACUGCCAUUGAUACUAUUUGUCUUGAAUGUCGUGGAGGUUAGCGGAAUAUGUCAUGUAGCGGUGAAAUGCUUAGAUAUGACAUAGAACACCUAUUGCGAAGGCAGCUAACUACGCGAAUAUUGACGCUGAGGCACGAAAGCGUGGGGAUCAAACAGGAUUAGAUACCCUGGUAGUCCACGCCCUAAACGAUGAUUACUCGACAUUAGCGAUACACUGUUAGUGUCUGAGCG
rnacentral:rRNA from 1 species